UUGAACUAUAUCUUUCCUGUGCAACUCCAAAUUUUGAAAAACUAUUGUUGUCCCAAAGCAUGUAGCCAUUAUAACCUUAUAACAAACAUCUUAAAUUCUAAUUUACUCUCCCUUUUCAAUUAUCAAGCACCGGCAAUCAAAUACCUGGGAACUUGCUCGUUUCCCACAGCCCAACCGCAGCAUCGCCGGUGAUGAAAGCUUAUCCGGCGGUCACGCCAAUGUUUGCACUAGUGACUAGUGCAGGCCAUCCGACCACUUUUCCCUCACUAGUGCACGCCUUGGCGGUGACCACUGGAUGGUCUUCUUAUCUUUGAGGAGUAGCAAAUUCACGUUACUUCUAUGAACUACAUUUCUGGAUCAUAUUCAAUAUUUUUCUGGAAUUUGAAGAACAUACGUGCUAAAGAGCAGUUUUGAUAUCAUCCUAGAUGCAAGGCUGUGAAGCUCAUUAUAUAUGUUUUGUUGAUUACCUCAUCUUAUGUUGUAAAGGGCCUUCAAGCUUCUUUCAGAUACAUCUGGUCUCAAAGCUAAUAAUCAUAAAUCAGUCUUUUGUUGUACAGCUUUAGAAACUCUCUAGUUUAGUGUCACUCAAGUAUCUUAGUGUACCAAUCUGCUCCAAGACAAUUUCAGAUACUCAUUGUGAUGUUUUGAUUGGAAAAAUGAUGAGUAGAAUUAAAUUAUCGAGUUCGAGGAACUUAUCAUAUUCAAGAGAGAGUUUGGAAUACAAGAGGAUGCAAGGAAGAAACGAGAUAUCUUAACUACUUGUAAUAGACGGUGAAGAGAUUUUAAGACAAAAUUGGUGAGUCGAUGGAUCACAAAAGCGAGGAAGGGGCCUAACAAUUAAAGGCAACCGUAGGAGAUAUAUCCUUUUAUUACGAAAGAGAUGUGCAACCAAUUUGUCACAAAGUGUAGCUCUCAAUAGUUUAAGGCAUGUAAUAUGUACGACACAAUCAUAUGUAAUUAUUUUUUCAAUUUUUUUUGUGUGAAUACUGACUAGGUAUUUGUUUUCCUGUCAUGCUAAAAGUGAAAGAGGAAAAAGAUCUCAGACAUCCAACAACAUCCUCAUUUUUUGGAUCAUAACUCAUAUGCGGAGAUGAUUCCCUUUUAGAAAAGGGAAGGGUAUAUCCAUCCAUCCUCUACAUCAUCAUUUGUUGACUCCUAGCCGGAACAAACUUUACCAUGGCAUCUCGCGAGAUCGAAAAAAGAAAUAAGCAAGGAAAUCUUCUCUUUCCAAAUGACUGAACACAAAAGAUAAAAGAAUCCAUUGUCGGAUGAAUGAUGCUCUAUCACGUGCUCUACAGAGGAAAGACAGUCCUGGGCAUUUGUUAAUAGUUGGGUGUAGCAUUGGGAUUACAGAUAUUUAGGGAGAUUUUGAUCAGAGUAAUACUGCGAAGAAUGGUAGGGACAUAAAUGAUCUGGAAAUGCAGGAAUUCAAUGCUAUAGUGACCCAAAGAGUUAAAAAAGAGACGAUGAAAGAGAUUAACUCGAAGUUAGAUGCAUUAGUUCAAGAAAAUUUCAUGCCUCUUACGAAAUCCUGACACUCUACUUGAUCGUAGUAGCUCUCACUCGGGGGAAUGAUCCAUUUGCGAACUUACAGAUGUUAAAAGUCCAGUUUCAUGUCGUUUGGCAUUAGCGGGUGGCUCGCGACCGAUCAUUGUAGCCGAGGGCACCGUUCAUCCACCAAAUGUAGUCAUCAUCACAUCCUUGGUCAUAAAAGUGAGUAUUGAUAAUUUUUUUGGGAUUACACAAACGCUCCAGUUCCAUUACCUACUCCAUUCAUCACGAAACUUAGUCAAGCUCAUGGUGCAUUCAUACAAUGGCCGAAAGAGUUGGUAUUUUUAGUCUCAGAUAAUUAGGUAACUUAUAUUUAAUAUUCUAACUUAUAUAUUAAGAAAUCUUGAAAUAUAUACUAAGUAACAUUGAUUUAAAUACCAAUUAAUCUUGAUUUAUAUAUGAAUAAUCUAUAUAAUAUGAAUGAAAAGAAGUCGAAUUGAAUUAGGAACAUAUGUCUAAGGAAGGUGCGAUGAAAAAGAAGAAGAAGAAGAAGAAGAAACAGUUGGUAGUGAUCCUCGUACUGAUGAGUCUACGCAUAGGCACCUAGAUUCUUUUAUUGACUUGUCAUUGGAGGAUUUGAAUGAUCAUUGCAAGGAUAUGCACCGAUUAUUUUGUAAUUAACCCUGAUAUUAGCCUUUUAGUAUACAAGUUAUGAAGGGUACAAGUUAUAUUCGACUAUGAUAGUGAUCAGAUGAUUAUAAUCUCGCGACAAGAUGUUAUUCAACUUCUCACGAGAGCAUGGCUUGAUGUAUCCAUUUUGCAAUUGUUCAUGAUGUGAGAUUUCUCAAACUCUGAACUAAUCAAAAUUGAUAAUUAUUUUUAUUGUUUCUCCUAAGCAUAAGUUAUUGGAGUGUAUGGAAUUGCAAGAAUCGUCUAGGGACCAUGGAGAUGGUAAUAUUGGUUUCAUGUGUCCAAGUAUGAUUUCAGCGACCAUGAUACGCAAUUGUCCAGAUGUUGUUAUCAACUACAUGGUAAGCUCAAUGAAAGCGAAUUAAUAUUUAUGUUACAUCUUAUGUCCGUGUAUUCAGAAGUAUGUUAGUUAAACUAUCUUCACUUCGUUUAAUCUUUAUGAACUUAUUAUAUGUACAUCACAUUUUGCUUCAUGCCUUAGGGAACAAUGGAUUCUUCUUGUCAUUUGUCUAUCUAAUAAAGAGGUAUAUAAAUUUGAUUCGCUACGGAGAGAGAUCUUUAGCUAUCAAGAUGCUGCUAAGUAUGUAAGUUCAUAAUUUGUAAACAUGUUAAUUAUUUUAUACGCAUUUUAUGAUAUUUAAAUGAACUAUAAAUGUUCAUAGUAAUUAGUUGUUACAAAAUUUGUAUACUUAGUGCAUAUACAACUAUACAAGUUUCAAGCAUAUUCAGGGAUCCAAUAGUGGAACUAAAUUGUAUGUGUGUGUGUGUGUGUGUGUAUAUAUAUAUAUAUAAUCUGGUGAAGUGAGCUCAACAAUCGCAAGGAACUAAAUGCGGCUAUUUCAUGAUGAAGUGCAUGCUGGACAUCAUCCGCUUCGACUAUGAUUCAGAUAAUUUACAGGAUGUAUAUAUAUGUUGUAUAUUCGUUAUUUGUAAUUAAGUUUAUACUUAUAGAAUUUCUAAGUAAUUCAAUAUAUUUCUUGGAUUUUCCACCAAGUACCAACCCAUACUCCUUAGGUGAGAUCAUCCAACUCAAAGAACUUUGUGCCCAAGACUUUGUACAGGUCGUCGAAGAAACUUAGUUAGUAUAUGUGUUUGUAGGUUGAACAAUAUUUUGUUGAUUGAACAUUGGUUAGUUGCUUGAUUGCAAUAUUGAUUGCUUGAUUGAGAUGUAUUGGAUGAGGUUUUGGUUUUUUAUGAAAAUUUUCCACGAUUUCUUGGGUUGUCCAAAAUAUAAAAGAGACUCUUACUCAUAAUUAUCAAUAUAUGUUCGAUUAGUUUUGAUGUUUGCUGUUUAGCAUAUGAAAAAAAAUGCUGGUAAAAAAACCAAAGUCUAUCAUUUACGUUGAACAUUGGGCAAUAGGCAACGCGGAUGAGCUUUAUUUGCAACGCACGUUGCAUACGAGCGACACACAUGUUAUGAUGUGCAUGGCCAGUGAAUGGGCUGUGCAAACAGAUCCAUUGCACAGGGCCCCCAAGUCAAUAGGGCCCCUAAAUCAGUUUAUAAU